CUCUUCUCUGAUGUGCUCCUUGUGACCAAGCCCCAGCGCAAGGCGGACAAAGCCAAGGUCAUCCGCCCCCCUCUCAUGCUGGAGAAGCUCGUGUGCCAACCCCUGCGAGACCCCAACAGCUUCCUGCUGAUCCACCUCACUGAAUUCCAGUGUGUCUCCAGCGCCCUCCUUGUGCACUGUCCCAGUCCUACAGACCGUGCCCAGUGGCUGGAGAAGACCCAGCAGGCCCAGAGAGGGAGGCAGAGCCUCCAUCAUC
rnacentral:sRNA from 1 species